rnacentral:lncRNA from 1 species
AGAUGAGCCAGUUUAUCCAUCUAGGUGGUACCAGCUGAUCCAUCAAGUGCAAAGUCUGCAAAAUAUCUCAAGCACGGAUCUUAGGUUUUACAACAGUGUUGCUCUCCCCGGGAGCAAUUUGGGGAGGGUCAGAACCUUGUAGCCUCCAGCUACAUGACUCCUAAACCAGAAUUUGUAAUCUUGUGGCUAAUUUGUUAGCCCUACAAAGGAAGUCUAGUCCUCAGGCAGGAAGGGGGUUUUGUUUUGGAAAAGGGCUGUUGUCCUCUUUGUUUCAAAGUUAAACUAUGAGUAAGUUCCUCUCAAAGUUAGUUUGGCCUACACCCAAGAAUGAACAAGGACAGGUUAGACUCUAAUCUAGAAAUCUAGAAGCAAGAUGGAGUUGGUUAGGGCAGAUUUUUUUUUUUUUUUGAGACAUAGUUUCGCUCUGUCAUCCAGGCUGGAGUGCAGCGGCGCGAACUCUGGCUCACUGCAAGCCCCGCCUCCCAGGUUCGCGCCAUUUUCCUGCCUCAGCCUCCUGAGUAGCUGGGUCUACAGGCGCCCGCCAUCACGCCCGGCUAAUUUUUUGUGCUUUUAAUAGAGAUGGGGUUUCACCGUGUUAGCCAGGAUGGUCUUGAUCUCCUGACCUCAUGAUCCGCCCUCCUCGGCCUCCCAAAGUGCUGGGAUUACAGGUGUGAGUCACCGCGCUCGGCCAGGGCAAAUCUCUUUAACUAUUAUAAUUUUCUCAGUUAUAAUCUUGCCAUGGUGGUUUCAAAAGGUGACUGGAAGAAAGCGGAAGGAAUGCUUGCCUCAUCUUGCAGACAUCAGGUGCAUUCCUGAGAAGCUACAGGUGCACAACCUUAGUCAGGCUCUGGGGAUACAGAAGUAACAAGAAGACCAGACCCUUGUUCCAAUGGAGGAGACAUCCUGGGACAUUGUCUAAAAACCAACCUGCUCCAAAUCUUAUCUCAGGCUCUGCUUUCAAAAGAACUCAAACCAGUUGGAAGUACCCCAAAGGAAUAUCUAUCUACCCAUCUGUCCUGCCACAAAACAGAUCAUUCUCAACAGCAGUGGAAAUAGAAUCAGCUCCAUUGCCUGGGAAUCAUUCUUGUCAGGAGUGCUUUCGUUCUAACCUAGGUAAAGAUCUGCAGUACAAGUAUUAUCAUGUCAUUUCACUAAUGGACAAGUACAAGUUUGGAUACAAGAUGAAUAAUGAAAUCUACUUGGUUUCAAUGAGGGUUACACAGAAGACAUCUGCUCAGUCUUCUACAUAAUAGCUCUUCAGAGACUUGAAGGGAAUUGUCAUGAGUCCUGAGACAUCUCUUCUCCAAGAUAAAAAGCCCUCAUCUUCAGUGAACACACGCUCAAGAUUCAUUUCAAAUGCCACCACCUCUUGAAAGCCUCCCUUGCUCUCUCUGGAAAGAGCUAAGCAUACCUUCUUCAGAGCUCUUCUGCUGUCUCAGCCAGCCCUUCCUUGCAUCUUUUAUCCCAAUACACUGUCAUUACAUGUUUAUAUUCAUUUGCUUGCCCAACUAGCCUGUUAUCUUCAGGGGUCCUGGCAGAUUUAUCUUUGUUUUCUGUUGGUGCAUACUUAUGGCUGAAAAAGCAGCUUGGGGUCCCUCAAAAAUAUAAACAUAGAAUUGCCAUAUAAUCUAGUAAUUCUACCUCUGGGUAUACUCACAAAAGAAUUCAAAGAAGGGUCUUGAAGAUAUAUUCGUACACCUGUGUUUAUAGCAGUAUUAUUCAUGAUAGCCAAAAAGUGGAAGCAAACCAACCUCUGUCCUUUAGAAGAUGAACAGAUAAACAAAAUGUGGCAUAUGCAUACGAUAAAAUAUUAUUUGGCUGGGUGUGGUGGCUCACUCCUGUAAUCCCAGCACUUUGGGAGGCCAAGGUGGGUGGAUCACUGGAGGUCAGGAGUUUGAGACCAGCCUGGCCAACAUGGUGAAGCCCUAUCACUACUAAAAAUACAAAAAUUAGCCGGGCAUGGUGGCACGUGCCUAUAUAUAUAUAUAUAUAUAUAUAUAUAUAUAUAUAUAUAUAUAAAAUACUUGGCAAUGGAAAUUAGUUCCUCUAAGCCUCAGUUUUUACUUCUUUAAAAUGGGCAUAGUCUAUGUGACCAUAGACUUGAUUUAAAAAUCCAUGAGAUAGUCAAAAGCUCUUACCAGGAUGUACAGUAAAACAAUUUGCUUACACAUGCUACAAGAUGUAUGAACCUUGAAGACAUUAUGCUAAGUGAACUAUGCCAGUCACAAAAAGACAAAUACUGUAUAAUCUCACUUAUAUAAAGUAUCUAGCAUAGUCAAAUUCACAAAGAAAGUAGCAUGGUGGUUACCAAGCGCUGGGAGAAGAGAGGAGUGGGGAGUUAGUGUUUAAUGGGACAGAGUUUCCGUUUUGCAAGAUGUAAAGAGUUCUGGAGAUGGAUGGUGGUGAUGGCUGUACAACAAUACAAAUGUGCUUAAUAUCACUAAACUGUACAUUGAAAAUGAUUAAGGUAGUAACUUUUAUAUGUAUUUCACCACAAUAAACGUAAUAAAAAAUAAAAUAAUUGCUGCUGAAUAAUUGAAUGAAUGAGUUUAUGUUUUAACUGAAAAAAGUAAUACCUGUUCAUCUUUGCAGAUGCUUUGCUCAGUGGAAGAAGAUAAUUUGAUGAAGGCAAGGCCAUUUCUGGUACUCCUAAAUCACACCAUUUUAAAAGCUACUUAUGUGGCAUCCACCCAGAACCUGUUUUAGUGAGAACAAAGGUGCCUUCAGCAGUUCUAAGAGGUCUGUCUAAACCCUAGUUUCUUUUGUUCAUAUUUUCUUUUUGAAAACUAAGCUCUAUCGAUUGGCCCAACAAUACUGCAGGCUUGGAGGGAGAUGCAGCCAACUUUACUACUGCAGUUAGUAGGAGACACUUCCAGUGGAAUACAACUUUCCAGUGAGACGAUGACCCCAUCUGUGUACUGUUACAUUUAUAGGGGAUAAUCUUCUACAAGAGAUCCAGAUUUCAAUCUCAAUUGCCAAUAAGUCUGUAUGUCCUUAGGUAAUCCCUGUCCCUUCUCAUCGAAUAUCAGCUUCACCAUCCGGAAACAAAGGAGCAGAUUUUGAU